CCUACGGGUGGCAGCAGUGAGGAAUAUUGGUCAAUGGACGAGAGUCUGAACCAGCCAAGUAGCGUGAAGGAUGACUGCCCUAUGGGUUGUAAACUUCUUUUAUAUGGGAAUAAAAUGUUCCACGUGUGGGAUUUUGUAUGUACCAUAUGAAUAAGGAUCGGCUAACUCCGUGCCAGCAGCCGCGGUAAUACGGAGGAUCCGAGCGUUAUCCGGAUUUAUUGGGUUUAAAGGGAGCGUAGGUGGAUUGUUAAGUCAGUUGUGAAAGUUUUCGGCUCAACCGUAAAAUUGCAGUUGAAACUGGCAGUCUUGAGUACAGUAGAGGUGGGCGGAAUUCGUGGUGUAGCGGUGAAAUGCUUAGAUAUCACGAAGAACUCCGAUUGCGAAGGCAGUUCACUGGACUGCAACUGACACUGAGGCUCGAAAGUGUGGGUAUCAAACAGGAUUAGAUACCCGAGUAGUC
rnacentral:rRNA from 1 species